rnacentral:rRNA from 1 species
CCUACGGGAGGCAGCAGUGAGGAAUAUUGGUCAAUGGGCGGGAGCCUGAACCAGCCAAGUCGCGUGAGGGAAGACGGUCCUAUGGAUUGUAAACCUCUUUUGGCGGGGAGCAAUGCCGUCCACGUGUGCCCGGAGGGAGAGUACCCGCAGAAUAAGCAUCGGCUAACUCCGUGCCAGCAGCCGCGGUAAUACGGAGGAUGCGCGCGUUAUCCGGAUUUAUUGGGUUUAAAGGGUGCGUAGGCGGAAUUUUAAGUCAGCGGUAAAAUUUCGGGGCUCAACCCGGGCGGGCCGUUGAAACUGGGGUUGUUGAGUGGGCGAGAAGUAUGCGGAAUGCGUGGUGUAGAGGUGAAAUGCAUAGAUAUCACGCAGAACUCCGAGUGCGAAGGCAGCAUACCGGCGCCCGACUGACGCUGAGGCACGAAAGCGUGGGGAUCGAACAGGAUUAGAUACCCGUGUAGUC